GACGAACGCUGGCGGCGUGCUUAACACAUGCAAGUCGAACGGAAAGGCCCUGCUUUUGUGGGGUGCUCGAGUGGCGAACGGGUGAGUAACACGUGAGUAACCUGCCCUUGACUUUGGGAUAACUUCAGGAAGCUGGGGCUAAUACCGGAUAGGAGCUCCUGCUGCAUGGUGGGGGUUGGAAAGUUUCGGCGGUUGGGGAUGGACUCGCGGCUUAUCAGCUUGUUGGUGGGGUAGUGGCUUACCAAGGCUUUGACGGGUAGCCGGCCUGAGAGGGUGACCGGCCACAUUGGGACUGAGAUACGGCCCAGACUCCUACGGGAGGCAGCAGUGGGGAAUAUUGCACAAUGGGCGGAAGCCUGAUGCAGCAACGCCGCGUGCGGGAUGACGGCCUUCGGGUUGUAAACCGCUUUCGCCUGUGGCGAAGCGUGAGUGACGGUAAUGGGUAAAGAAGCACCGGCUAACUACGUG
rnacentral:rRNA from 1 species